UACUGUAGAACUAGGGAGUGGGAGAGGUAGACGGUACUCGGUAGGAAGGGGUAAAAUCCUUUGAUCUAUCGAUGACCACCUGUGGCGAAGGCGGUCUACCAGAACACGUUCGACGGUGAGGGAUGAAAGCUGGGGGAGCAAACCGGAUUAGAUACCCGGGUAGUCCCAGCUGUAAACGAUGCAGACUCGAUGAUGCAUUGGCAUAUAGCCAGUGCAGUGUCGCAGGGAAGCCGUUAAGUCUGCCGCCUGGGAAGUACGUACGCAAGUAUGAAACUUAAAGGAAUUGGCGGGGGAGCACCACAAGGGGUGAAGCCUGCGGUUCAAUUGGAGUCAACGCCAGAAAUCUUACCCGGAGAGACAGCAGAAUGAAGGUCAAGCUGAAGACUUUACCAGACAAGCUGAGAGGUGGUGCAUGGCCGUCGCCAGCUCGUGCCGUGAGAUGUCCUGUUAAGUCAGGUAACGAGCGAGAUCCCUGCCUCUAGUUGCCAUCAUUACUCUCAGGAGUAGUGGGGCGAAUUAGUGGGACUGCCG
rnacentral:rRNA from 1 species